CCUACGGGAGGCAGCAGUAGGGAAUAUUGCUCAAUGGGGGAAACCCUGAAGCAGCAACGCCGCGUGGAGGAUGAAGGUUUUCGGAUUGUAAACUCCUUUUGUUAGAGAAGAUAAUGACGGUAUCUAACGAAUAAGCACCGGCUAACUCCGUGCCAGCAGCCGCGGUAAUACGGAGGGUGCAAGCGUUACUCGGAAUCACUGGGCGUAAAGAGCGCGUAGGCGGGAUAGCAAGUCAGGUGUGAAAUCCUAUGGCUUAACCAUAGAACUGCAUUUGAAACUGUUAUUCUAGAGUAUGGGAGAGGUAGGUGGAAUUCUUGGUGUAGGGGUAAAAUCCGUAGAGAUCAAGAGGAAUACUCAUUGCGAAGGCGACCUGCUAGAGCAUAACUGACGCUGAUGCGCGAAAGCGUGGGGAGCGAACAGGAUUAGAUACCCGGGUAGUC
rnacentral:rRNA from 1 species